GACGAACGCUGGCGGCGUGGAUUAGGCAUGCAAGUCGAACGGUAGGAUACCUUCGGGUAUCUGAGAGUGGCGAACGGGUGAGUAACACGUAGGUGAUCUACCCUCAAGAUUGGGACAACCCAGGGAAACUUGGGCUAAUACCGGAUGAAAGCAGCAGUGAUGUUGUUUGAAAGGUGGCGUAAGCUGCCGUUUGGGGAUGAGCCUGCGCUCUAUUAGUUAGUUGGCGGGGUAAAGGCCCACCAAGGCGAUGAUAGAUAGGCGGCCUUAACGGGUGGUCGCCCACACUGGGAUUGAGAUACGGCCCAGACUCCUACGGGAGGCAGCAGUCGAGAAUAGUCUACAAUGGCCGAAAGGCUGAUAGUGCGACGCCGCGUGAACGAAGAAGCCCUUCGGGGUGUAAAGUUCUUUUAUAUGUGAGCAGUGCUUUCUAUGUGAACAGCAUGGGGAGAGAGAUAUUAAGCAUAUGAAUAAGCAACGGCUAACUCCGUGCCAGCAGCCG
rnacentral:rRNA from 1 species